AAGAGGGAUUCCACUGGGGUCUUCUACUAGUAUUGAGUAGGGUGGGGAGGCAAGAACAGUAAUGGCCUGGGACAAGGAGGAAAGGGGAGGCACCAGGUGUCCUCUGGGUUGCAGACGCGCCCUCUCAGAGCCUGAGGUCUGUCCCUAGGGUGGAGACGUGGAGCACGGCCAAUGGGGGCGAGGAACUCAAGGGCCGCAGGAGAGGGAGAUUCUGCCUGCCGAGGGAGCAGGGGGAAGUGCACUGAGGGAAUGUGAGCAGCGCAGGUGGUGGGAUGUUAAGAUGGGGCUCUGGGGACCCCCAAGCCCAGCCCUCUGAGCCUCAGAUGAGGAAAUGGAGCCCGAGGGGGUGGAACGCGUGUCCCGGGAGCAGUUAGGUUUGGCUGAGCCUGAGAAAAGAACUAGGCAGCUGUGUGCUCCCUGCAGUGAAUGCAGAACGCCAGGAGCCCCUGAGGGACAGGUCCUGGAGGGCGUCCAACUACUGGGAAACAGAUCCCGAGUGCUUUGCACCACCCUGUGACAUCCCGCCUGACCUCUGUCCUUCCCUCGCCCAUGACCUCUUCCACGCCUACCUCCUGUGAUGCCUCUCCUCCAGCGCCCGGUGGGAUCAAGGCUCAUUUCUGCAAACCCUUUCAGGGUCGUUAAGGAACAUGGAGAAGGCGGUGAGGCCCUGAGCUUUGAUCCUGCUGCUUAACUGCUUUCACUAAUCACACCAAGAUCGAGAGGUUAAAAACAGCCCCCAGGGCCAGCUUUAGGUUCAACCGUUGAGUUCGACAAGCCUUGACUAAGUACUGGCCACGGGAGUUGAGAUGGGAGCGAGGUGACAACAAGUGGGUGACGAUGCCUCCAGGGUGCUUCCGGCACGGUGGGGACACAGACCAGCUGCUCCACAAAGACCCACCUGUUACCAGUGUCUGUCACAGCUUCUUGAGACACAGACUAACUGUGCUUUGAACAACAACACCAUCACACCGAAACAAAAUACCAAACCCACAAACCAACCCCACCACAACAGACAAACCCAAUGCUUUGAACUCAGAACCGCUAGCCAGGCCCUUAACCCAGAGGAGAAAAACCCAAAUCAGUCUUGAACUUGACUCGUGCCACCCAUGAGUGGCAGCAGUCCUGCGUCACCUCAGGGUGUCUGAGCCUCCUCGGGGGAGUGAGGAGAGCAUUCUGUGCUGUUGGGAGCCAGGCUUCUCGCUGCGGGGAAGGCGGAGACCUGUCCGCCUUCCCACACAGGACAGCAUUCUCUUGUUUAUGAUGUCGCUCUACAGUGUCCGUCUCCCCUGCACAGGGAUCUCUGACUACCUGGUUCACAGUGCGGGCAGGGGCUGGCAGGCGUGUGAACACGUGUACUGAUACGGGGUGACAGUGGACGCGUGGCUCAGGGCCAGGACAUGGAGAGGACCUGACGCCAAGACUGGAAGCCUUGGGACUGCAGCCUGCAGGAGGACAAGCUUCGCUCGGUCAAGGCUGACCUGGGUCUGGCCUCUGGGCCUGGGUAGGGGCUGUGACGGGAGGUUACAAGUGUCAGGAGCCCAGCUCACAGUCUUCUAGGGGACAAGGAGGAGCUGUCGGGGCCUCUUCAGUUCUGGGUGUGGUGCUCACUGGCAGCUGGGAUGGGGCUAGAUGGAGGUCACAGAUGCCACCUCUAGUGGCCUUGCAAAGCCACAUCACCAGACCUGCUGGAUUCAAGGCUGGACUGGCUCCUGACAGAGGAGCUGCUCUGUCCUUGUUUUGCAAUGGGCAGGACUGGGAGGCCUGAGCCACUCUUGCCACCUCCUCCCUGGGCAGCACAGCAGGGGUCUGGGCGGUGGUCAUGGCUCCCCCAGGCUGGCCCUCUCCUCUCUCCAGGGCCUCCUCCUCCUCAGCCUCCCUCAGGAAGGAACCUACCUGGCUUCCAGAACUGGUCUGGCAGCUAUUUCCAGGCCUAGGGCUGCCUCACAGGUGGUGUGACGCGGAAGUGGGGUGAUUCUAAGUUCCCUGCACAAGCCCUGCCCACCUCCAGAGACGCCCCCUCCCUUAGCAGGUCAGCAGCACCCUGCAUGCUCCACCCAGCCCUCAAGCCACCGCUGUCUGAGCAGACUGCAGCUUCCUCAUUCCCAGGAGCUGAGGAGCCAGGCCCUGGGGCCUCUGGGCUGUGUGGGCCAGCUCUGAGGGCAGCAGCUCCUGCGGGCGGACAGACAUGGACCGGCAGGCACCAGGGGAGGCGGGGGAGGGCCUGGGGCCUCAGCUCGGCUCCCGCUCAGCUCACAGCUGGGUCACGAGCACUGCUGGCCCGGUCCGUGGCCUCUCCGCAAAGGGAGGUUCAGCCCAGUCACCUGUUGGGGUGGUGAGCAGCAGAAGGCCAGAUCCGGAGAAGAGGCGGGUGUGGGAGGGGCGGGGCAGGCACGAUGGCCCUGUCCUCCACAGCAGAGGAACUGGGGCCUGGCUCGCACACCCCACUGUCCCAAACACUUACCUUUACCCCGCCCCUGUGCUCAGCUGAGGGCUCUGCCCGGAGUCCCCCUGGAGUGCCUUGGAGGUCUGGCUCUGAGGAGGCUGGGCAGCCCAGGCACAUUCGGAGAAAGCCCUGCUGCCCAUCUGUGAUGCAGGGGCCCUGAGGACACGUGGCCUCAGGUGGAUGACAGGAGGAAGGUGACUUGUUAAUGGAAAAGUGAAUGUUCACAUGCGUUACUUAGAGAGCGUGGAAGGAAGCGAACCCACCUUCAGCAUGGCCAUGAGCGAGGGCCGCUGCUCACAGGCUGCGGUUUCCCUCUGAUUGCCUUCCUCCAGGGCGUGCAGCUGGGAAACGGGGUUAGACCGCGUGCACGCCCAUCAUCUGUGUGUGUCUGGUUGAGUGCUGUUCCGCUGUUGACGUGGCUGAGCCCGUCGCAGCACACAUCAGUAUGUGGGAACUGAUUCAUGUAUUCAGCCAUGACUCUGCAUCCUUCCUGGGGUUUGUGUGACCAACUCUAAGUGAGUUGGGGCGUGGGGGUGGGGGCGGUGACCCUGGGGCUCAGAUGUGAGCAGGCAAGUUCUUGGGGAACGGGGACGCCGCUCUGAACUGGACUGAGGAAACCCCAGAAUGGGUCAGCUAGUAAAGGCUAGAGGAAGUCAAACCUGGAAAUCACAGCUCGUUCGACACUUCAACUACUGCAGAAGCCAUUCACGAGAGUUUAGCUGGUGGGUUUGUAAAAAGCUGUGAGAGGUAGGGAGAUUUUUAAAAGAUGUGUAAAAUCUUGCUUACAUUUCAAAGCUAAAACAUAAAAAGGUGUGUCUUCCCUUACCGUGAUUGUGGUCUGGGGUCUCCACUGGGCCUGGAAGUGGAACGGCAGUCCCCAGAGGUCAGUGGCAGUCAAACCUUGGGGUGAGGGGUGCUCACUAGUGGAAGGCUGGGGGCUCUUUAAGGUGCCAGGAUGUCCCCCUCUUGAGCCACGUGGUGGUCACGGGAGAAGGACUUGCCAAGUCUUGCAGUUAAGACCACGGGGCUUUGUGCACCUGAGGCCUCCAUGAAGAAUCUCAAAGCAAAGUGUGUGGAGAGAGGGGUGGUCUUGGGGUAAAAUGCCCUGGUGUUUAUGAUUUUCCAUCUUUCAUGGGUGUCUGCCCCACACUGAAAAACAGCAGUAAGAAAAGUCGCACUUUGGGAUCUUUCCAAAGUCACGUCCAACAACUUACUUCCAUAGAAACAACAAGCUGCUCUCCUCCCGUGCUCCUCCUCCCGCGGCUGCCUUGCUGGAUUGAUCGUGUGGUUGCAGUGUGUUUCGGGGAUCACACCACAAACGCUUGGGAAGCCUUAGACACACGCCACCCCUCCCGCACCCAGCAAGCCCCACAGGGAGCCAGAGCGUCCUGGAAGCUGGUGGCCAGGAGAGGUCAACUCCAGAUUGAGGACACUGGGGGAAAACCUGCCCUCGCUGCCUUGACGAGGCCCCGCUGGCUCACCCCUGGUCCUGCUCCACUCCCCUGCGCCUUCGCGCUGUGCACAGGUCCAGGACUGAGCUGUGAGGGGCCUCGGCAGAGUCGCUGUUCUACCUGUUUAUUCGCCUGUGAUGCGGGAGCAUGGGCACUGCCCUUCCCGCAGUGACCGCACUAGCGUUGGUAAUGAGGCAGGAGAGCAGAUGCCGACACUCUGGUUCCACCCGGGCGGGCUGUGUGCACCUGGUGAAAUGUUACACCCAACGCUGUGACAGUACACUAACAGGUUACUGGAGAGGAGGAGGGGAGGGAGGGAGGAGAGACCUGUCCAGUGGCACCUGGCCCCUGGCCCCUGGGCCCAGCAUCAGGGCCCGGCGGCUCUGUGGAGGGAGCUGGCCUGAUGCAGGGAGGGGUCUGGUGCCACCUCCUGCUUCCACCACAGCCUCAGGCCAUAGCCUUGUUGGAACCCGUGUUGGGCCCACACUGAGGCAAGACAAAGAGGAGAAGGAGGAUCCAAGAAGGACGGAAAGACUGGGAAGAAAACGGGGGCCUUUGGGGCCCAGAGUGGGCGUUCUCCACUGGUCUGCCUCAGCGCCACCCUUCACUUUCCUAAAGAAGGACGGGCACCAAAGGUGCUCUAGUACAUGCCAGGGUACUCUGGAGACUACAGAGGAGACACACCCAGGUGAAGGGUGGCCCAAGCCCCAGGAGAGAAUGAUCUUGGAGACCAGGCCUUGGCAGAGGUGAUUAAGGCACAAUUAAGUCAUUAGGGUGGGCCCUAAUUCUAUCCGACUGGUGUCCUCUGAAGAUGCCACGAGAAGACAAGACACCAGGAGAGAGACAACACAGCCGCCCUCAGGGAGCAGAGGGCCUGGGGCAGACCCUGCUCAGUCUGGGGACCUCCCAGAGGACUCCCGGAUCUCAGCCUUGGGGCUGGGAGAAGACGGACUUCUGCUAUGAGAUCUGUUCAGUGCGCGGUCCUAGCAAACCAACAGAGCCCGCCAUCAAAAAGCAGACGGCAGGGGCUGAGGAUGUGGCUCAAGCGGUAGCGCGUAGUGCGCUCGCCUGGCAUGCGUGCGGCCCGGGUUCGAUCCUCAGCACCACAUACAAACCAAGAUGUUGUGUCCGCCGAGAACUAAAAAAUAAAUAU